GGCCUCCCAAUGCUUACCACAGGCUUACCACACUGACUGUAUAGAAAGAGGAGGUACAGUAAAUGCUUCCCAUAUACACCUCAAACCAGGUCCUUUGCCUGGUCUGUAUUGUGAAUGGGGGGACAAAA